GACAUAAACCAUGCAAGAGAUGAAACACUGCCAGUGAAAAUAUGCUCCCUCAGUCCAAGUACUGUUGGAUAUCUUACACCAUCACGCUUUUGAAGAAAUUCUUGAAGGAAGUUCCUCAUUUUGAAGGCUUCUUCCAUAUAGUUAUCCUGAUUCAUAUCUAUUGUUUGUAAUCCUUCACCCCGUGUGAAUAUAAUGGCAUGAUUCUGAUUUUCUGGCUUCCCCUCACCUAAUAUUGCAGGUCCAGGAAGCUUUAUCCGAUAUAUUACCUGGUCUAGAUUUUGAACUGGCUCAGACGAAUCAAUAGGCUCAGUUGGAGGACCAGCCUUGACAAGUGUUGAAUAAUAAACCUUCUCAACCAUCUUGUUAGAAUUGGAUUUAUCUUUACUAGUUUCUUCAACCUCAUCGAUAUAUGCUACACGAAGAGAUGGAUAGUUUGUCAUGAGCCUCAGAAUAUCUUUAGCACGAGCAUCAGCUGCUCGUUUGUGAAUGCCAUAUUGCUGGCAUGACACAACAUAUGUGAAUUUCAUAUCGGCUUUUUCUGACAUUGUGCCCAUAGUGACCUUUCACUCUUUGACUUUUCCUCUCUACUUGAUUCAGCAACCUUAUAGCCUUUCAUCAAUUCUUCAUUUGUUGCCCUAUCAAGGAAGGCCUGAAGUUCCAAAGCUUUGCGGUAAUACAUCAUGCCUCGUACAGUUUUUGUCAAUGUUUGGCCUCUGUAUGAUGCCCAUAAACGAAGUUUCUCUUCCAGUUCUUCACUUUCUCUGAGUUUUUCCUCACUAACACAUUCAACCCGUUCAAGAAAGUUUGUCCACUCAUCUGGAAAGAUUUUUUGCAAGUAAAAAAGGAUAGAAACCCCAUCCUCAUUUGGAUUCUCUAGUUGAUUUAUGGAGUAAAGAACAUCCUCAUCAUAGUAAGGAGUUAGGAUAGAGAAUGAAAGCAUGUUGCGAACUUUGGGUGCAUUAGGCAUGUCCAUGAACAAUGAAUUGGAGAAGAAAGAAAUUCGCCUUCUAGCUUCCAAGUUAGAUGGCACAUCCAUAGCGGACUCUUUCACAGUAAGCAAUAGGUGAAGCCUUCUGAUUUUUUCUUUCCAAGCUUCUGUCUCUUUCACUGGAAAUUUGAGAUGACCAAAAAACUGGUACUGUUGAUCAAGUGAGG
rnacentral:misc_RNA from 1 species